CCUGUUCUUACCUGUUUAGUCAUCAUCUUUUUUCUGUCUUGUGUUGUGGUCCUGAUAUUCCUACAGUGCAGUUCAUUGAUGCAGAUUAAACUAGAUAGUACCUUAUCUUCUGUUGGUGUUCACAUAAUAUGAUGAUGGCAUGUCUUCGAGCAAAAUCUGCUGGUGAAGUUGUACUCCCUCUGUUUCUAAAUAUAAGACCUUUAAGAGUUUCCAGUAUGGACUACAUACGGUUGUCUAUAUUCAUCCGUAUGUAGUCCAUAUUGAAAUCUCUAAAAUGGAUUAUAUUUAGAAAUGGAGGGAGUAUGAUUUUAUUUCCAACCAAUGGAUUAUAGGUAGGUGUCUGUUUAUCAUUCGAGAGCAAAUUGGCAAUGUUUCAACUGAAGCUUGGUUUAUUAUAUGCACUAUGUAGAAGAAGCGUUUGGUUAUUUGCAACUCAAUGAUGUGUCCUUGUUAGACUGUUGUAGAAUCUGAAGAGCGUAUUUGAAUAUUUUGCCAGCAUGCCAUGCAUAUUUGUGUUGUACCGUGUUGUGUUGCAUUAUAGAGAGAGCUGACUCAAGUAGUUUCUUCGAAUAUUACAGGAAGCCACAGGCUGAAGGAGGGAGAGAAGUUGAUGCAUGCCACAUGUGUAGUAGUCUCACAGUUGUCAAGCUUAUCCAGCAGUCCUAUACCAGACUGUGUGCCUGAUGUGAUGUGGGCAGUCUAGGAAAAACAAUAGGGGUCAAAUCCCUAAGUAUCAGGCCUGGAAGUCACAAGUCUUGUAAAAUAGGUGACCACUCCUUGGUUGGUCCUGACAUCGCUUGCACAUGGACUAGCAGCUCUCGUCAGGGCGACCUGAUGGUUGUCAUCGCGGUCUCCGAUGAUGGUGGUGUGCUGCCUUGCUUCCAGCGCCGACGAGGCGAUGGGGCCCAUAACCUCGGCUCCCACGACUACCUCCCUGGCUGCCUCUACUUAGCAUUGGUGGUGCGUCUAGAUUUAAGCAGGAGGAAUUACCAUUAAUAUUUGAUUGCAUGAGGACUGCUAUCCAGUUAUUAGAGGUGACCACUCCUUGGUUGGUCCUGGUGUUGCGUGCACGGUGACCAGCAGCUCUCUUCGGUGUGAUUUUGUGUUUGUCAUCGCGGUCUCUGGAAAUGGUGGUGCUUCACCUUGCUUCUCGUGCCGAUGAGAUGGUGAGGCCUGUAACCUCGGCCUCGGCUCCCUCUACUUAGAUAAGCUGACUCGACGGCAUGCCCCUUUGUUUUGGGCGCCAUCACCGAUGAGAUGCCGCUGGCUGUGUCGUAACCUCCGUGUUCGGCUACUACGGCUUUGGUGGACUACUUCCUUCGUGGUCACUACUCCAACUUCCCUUGCAGCAUGAUGAGGUGGUGGUCGUCUUUUCCUUGGUUCUGAAGGACUAGAAGAGAGAUGUUGAAGAAAAAGGGUUGGCGCAAAUCCCAGGAGAUGCUCUGAAAAAGCCUUGUUUCGCUGGGUGUCGACCGAAUCCGAAUGGUUUUUCGAACGGAUGUUAGAUGGAAUGGUGAUGUUGGUCUUGUCUAGGGAGUGCUAUGCACUGUUGUAAACUUUGGAUUGUAUUUCCAUGUAGAGAUGUAAACCGGGUCCCAUUAAAUCAUGUUUAAACAUACUAAUGAUCUAAGAGUUCAAUUAUUCGUUUUCUUUUCGGGGAAAAUGAACUAUGGAGCUAAGUAAAGCUAACUAAACAAGACUUGAAGAACCUGCUUAUUUGC